GCCUGGGUGGCUCAGUUGGUUGAGCGUCUGACUCCGGCUCAGGUCAUGAUCUCAUGGUUCGUGGGUUCAAGAUCCACAUCAGGCU
rnacentral:tRNA from 1 species